AUGGGCAUUUCAAAGGAACUCCCAGUGUUCAGCCAACACAGCCCAGCUCCUUCAGGCAGCAGGUGGUUCCUCAGGUGCUGCUACCCACUUUGCCGAGGAAGCACACAAACAGCGAGCGGCAGAUCGGCACUGGGUAAGUGGGAAACCACGAUCCUGGAAAUCCCUCCUGAGCUAAAACCUAGCCAAAAGACCACCUCGGCUUUCAAACUGAGAAUUUGCUGGACACCUGAUGUUUCCGUGUGCGUGGAGGUGCUCCAGCCUUAGAGUUGAAAAUGUGAUGCUGAGACUGUGUCUGUGCUCUUCCCUCAGGGACACCCGUGUGAUGUGUGCCAUGGAAGCGACAGCAGGAUCCAACCCGCCUGCAAGAGGAUCCAACCCAACAGCCAUGUCCUGGCAGCUGUGUUCUCCUUGAUUCCAGGUGAGGGGAUGUGAACUUGGCAGAGCCUGUGAGCAUUCCCAGGGGACAACCUCGCUCUGCAGUGCCUCUCCUGUGCUCCCUUGGUUUGGGCCAAGGCUCUGAUCUGGUUUAUGAGGGGCUCUGAGGCUCCUCAGACCCUUUCCAGGGGCUGUGCUGCCUGCUCUGGGUGGCCCUGCUUGACCAGGGGUUGGACCAGGUGGCCUCCAGAGGGCCCUGCCAACCUCCACCCCUCAGUGGUGGGGCUGGUUUCUCUCUGUGAGCAGCCAGCCCACUGUGCUGCAGGGCACGGAGAGAGCUGCGCUGCAGUGG
rnacentral:lncRNA from 1 species